rnacentral:rRNA from 1 species
GACGAACGCUGGCGGCGCGCUUAACACAUGCAAGUCGAGCGAGAACCAGGGCUUCGGCUCUGGGGAAAGCGGCAAACGGGUGAGUAACACGUGAGUAACCUGCCCUCGGCACCGGGAUAGCCCGGGGAAACCCGGAUUAAUACCGGAUAGCCUUUCGAGCUCUCGGGCUCGUCAGAAAAGGUAGCUUCGGCCUUUGGCCGAGGAAGGGCUCGCGGCGGAUUAGCUUGUUGGUGUAGGUAACGGCUCACCAAGGCGACGAUCCGUAGCUGGUCUGAGAGGACGAUCAGCCACACUGGGACUGAGACACGGCCCAGACUCCUACGGGAGGCAGCAGUGGGGAAUCUUGCGCAAUGGGCGAAAGCCUGACGCAGCGACGCCGCGUGCGGGAAGAAGGCCUUCGGGUUGUAAACCGCUUUCAGGAGGGACGAAGCCACUCGGGUGAAUAGCCCAGAGGGUGACGGUACCUCCAGAAGAAGCCCCGGCUAACUACGUGCCAGCGGCCGCGGUAAUACGUAGGGGGCAAGCGUUGUCCGGAUUUAUUGGGCGUAAAGAGCGUGUAGGCGGCUUGGCAAGUCCGCUGUGAAAACUCGAGGCUCAACCUCGAGCUGUCGGUGGAAACUGCCUGGCUAGAGUCCGGAAGAGGAGUGUGGAAUUCCUGGUGUAGCGGUGAAAUGCGCAGAUAUCAGGAAGAACACCUAUGGCGAAGGCAGCACUCUGGGACGGUACUGACGCUGAGACGCGAAAGCGUGGGGAGCGAACAGGAUUAGAUACCCUGGUAGUCCACGCCGUAAACGAUGGAUGCUAGGUGUGGGCGGUGUCGACUCCGUCCGUGCGGAAGCUAACGCAUUAAGCAUCCCGCCUGGGGAGUACGGCCGCAAGGCUAAAACUCAAAGGAAUUGACGG